rnacentral:rRNA from 1 species
UACGAGGGGGGCAAGCGUUGUUCGGAAUUAUUGGGCGUAAAGGGCGCGUAGGCGGUGCGGUAAGUCUGAUGUGAAAUCUCCGGGCUCAACUCGGAGUCUGCAUCAGAAACUGCCGUGCUCGAGUGUGGGAGAGGUGAGUGGAAUUCCCGGUGUAGCGGUGAAAUGCGUAGAUAUCGGAAGGAACACCUGUGGCGAAAGCGGCUCACUGGACCAUAACUGACGCUGAGGCACGAAAGCUAGGGGAGCAAACAGG